GACGAACCGUCCUAACGUUGUUCGGAAUCACUGGGCUUAAAGGGCGCGUAGGCGGGCUCUCAAGUCCGGGGUGAAAUCUUUCGGCUCAACCGGAAAAUAGCCUUGGAUACUGGGAGUCUCGAGCGAGGUAGGGGCGGGUGGAACUUCCGGUGGAGCGGUGAAAUGCGUUGAUAUCGGAAGGAACGCCGGUGGCGAAAGCGACCCGCUGGACCUCUUCUGACGCUGAGGCGCGAAAGCGUGGGGAGCAAACGGG
rnacentral:rRNA from 1 species